rnacentral:rRNA from 1 species
UACAGAGGGUGCGAGCGUUAUUCGGAAUUACUGGGCGUAAAGCGCACGUAGGCGGCUUGGUAUGUCGGGUGUGAAAUCCCCGGGCUCAACCUGGGAACUGCAUCGGAAACUGCCUUGCUAGAGUAUGGGAGAGGGAAGUGGAAUUUCCGGUGUAGCGGUGAAAUGCGUAGAUAUCGGAAGGAACAUCAGUGGCGAAGGCGACUUCCUGGACCAAUACUGACGCUCAGGUGCGAAAGCGUGGGGAGCAAACAGG